GAGGGUGUAGCUCAAGUGGUAGAGCAUAUGCUUAGCAUGCACAAGGUCCUGAGUUCAAUCCCAGUACCUCCU
rnacentral:tRNA from 1 species